rnacentral:sRNA from 1 species
ACAUAGACUACCAAAAGGCUUUUGAC